rnacentral:rRNA from 1 species
UACAGAGGUCUCAAGCGUUGUUCGGAUUCAUUGGGCGUAAAGGGUGCGUAGGUGGGUUGGUAAGUCAGUGGUGAAAUACUUUCGCUUAACGAAGGAACUGCCAUUGAUACUACCAGUCUUGAAUACAGUGGAGGUAGGCGGAAUGCGUCAUGUAGCGGUGAAAUGCUUAGAUAUGACAUAGAACACCUAUUGCGAAGGCAGCUUACUACGCAGAUAUUGACGCUCAUGCACGAAAGCGUGGGGAUCAAACAGG